rfam:Oryzias latipes DNA, chromosome15, strain: Hd-rR.
GGGGGUUCAUUAGAAGUAACGAGUUGACACAAGGUAAAUCUUAAUGUUGAGGCGCCUUUCUCUACCAGCCCGGGGAGGAGCCCUCAUUAACUGUCGCUAACAACCCGUGUAAAUACACUGAUUGGACAGCUCCGAUACAAGCUUCAAGCCCUGCCAGGAAGUCCCCCUAAUGAGACCACACAAUCAAAAACAAUAAAAGGAGGGAGAGAGGGAGAGGAAAGGACAGGUUUUAAAGUUUUCUCCGGGCUCUGCUAUCAAAAAUUGGCGCCAAAAUUGAGGUUCAUUGCAAGAACACUUAAG